GAUGAACGCUGGCGGCGUGCCUAAUACAUGCAAGUCGAGCGAACGGACGAGAAGCUUGCUUCUCUGAUGUUAGCGGCGGACGGGUGAGUAACACGUGGAUGGCCUACCUAUAAGACUGGGAUAACUUCGGGAAACCGGAGCUAAUACCGGAUAAUAUUUUGAACCGCAUGGUUCAAAAGUGAAAGACGGUCUUGCUGUCACUUAUAGAUGGAUCCGCGCUGCAUUAGCUAGUUGGUAAGGUAACGGCUUACCAAGGCAACGAUGCAUAGCCGACCUGAGAGGGUGAUCGGCCACACUGGAACUGAGACACGGUCCAGACUCCUACGGGAGGCAGCAGUAGGGAAUCUUCCGCAAUGGGCGAAAGCCUGACGGAGCAACGCCGCGUGAGUGAUGAAGGUCUUCGGAUCGUAAAACUCUGUUAUUAGGGAAGAACAUAUGUGUAAGUAACUGUGCACAUCUUGACGGUACCUAAUCAGAAAGCCACGGCUAACUACGUG
rnacentral:rRNA from 1 species